CAAAAAAAAAAACCAAAGGAAGUAAAAUUAGCAUAUUAAAUGUGAUACAGCAACCAGAUUUAGUCUGGCUAACAGGAAAUGCAUUUGACUACAAGGUCAAAUUCAUGUGGUUGAAAUCCUAUCAAGAGCUAAUCAAGAAACAAGACACCUGAAACAAAUGAUUGUAAUUGGCUUCAUUGAAUCUUUGAUGAACAAGCCUACAUGCUUUGUGUGUUUUUUAUGAACUGUUACCAAUCAGUAUAAAUCACUCAAACUCAAAUCAGAAACUCAGAAGGAAAGUCAAUUUACACUAACCUUAUGUUCUCGAUGAACUCACUGCAUUUUAAUUUUUGCAGUGUGUAUAUAAUGAUGCAAAAUAACCAUAUUAUUCUCUGCUGACUGCAACCAAAAUGCUGCAAGCAUUCGUUAAUGAAAUAUGUGAAAUUAGCACAUCCUAAUAAGCACAAUGUAAUUUGCAUAAUGUUGAUUGAGGUUUAUUAGCUUUCAUAUAUUGUUAGCAUCCUAAGAGCAAUGUUCCAUUUAUCCAUUUACUGAUGGACUGUUCUUGAUCAAAACAUCUGAACAAAUGGAACACACCUUUUUUGGAUUUAGGUUUAAUACGAAGCACAUUUGGCAGAAGGAGGGAAUAGACUUCUGAGGAAGAGUGCAUUCUUGGAAGCCAAAGCUCAAGAUCGAUUAAUGGUGAAGCAGAUUACAUGCAGGCAGUGUGAGGGAAGGUGGAUAGAAAGGGAUGCACUCUUUCCUCAAACCAUCACUGCAUUCGCUUUUAUUGUCUUCAAAGUCUGAAGCCCAACUUUCAGCAGGGUUAAUUAUCUUCCAUGUGAUUUUACUCAUGAUUUUGGCAUUUUUGCAGUUCCUAGUUAGCAUUUCCAUAGUAUACUCCAUAACAGCGUGAUGUCCUGCAAAUCCCUGUCUUUUACAGACAACCCCAGUAAACAAAAUGAAAUAUAUUAUUGUUAACUCAUAAAACAAAAUGUUCCAUAAAUGCUUUUAUUCCAAAGCCAUCUGUCAAUCAGCCAUAGUGAGCAAGAUCAGUUGUAUCAAUUGCUUAAGAGACCCUUUCCAAAGUAAUCAACUUUUAGGCAGAUCUGCAGUCAAUAGGAGAGCAUGAUAACAUUAGGUUAGAUGCAGACAUAGACUACAUUGAUGCAGACACCCUCAGAAUACUAGACAAAGUUAGCUAGCCAAUGUUUCUGCAUAUAUGCCUAUAUUGCAUAUAUUCCAAUUCAAAUGCUAAUUAGAAAAUGCUAAUGCAAACAUGUAUUUGCAGGUGCAUUUUACUUUUGCCAGCAAUUGUACAUUGUUGUGCACAGAAAGGGAAUUGCAAUUGAAUUUGAUUGAUUACAUGAUUGAUUAAUUUUGGACCAUCAGAGAGCUGAUGAGACUGACCACAGGUGAAUUAUCUUGAUUUUACUCUUCCAGUAAUGACAGUAAUGACAGAUGACCUGACCAUGAAAUAAACCAGCAAAGAAAAAUCAGAGAAAACACGGCAGGGGUGAAGGUAUCACAAGCCACCGUUCAAAGAAGACUUCAAGAGCAGAAAUACAGAGGCUGUACCACAAGAUGCCAACCACCCAACAGCAGAUUGGAAUUCACAUACAGAGAUCGGGGUUGCUGUGGAUCCAGAGCCUAUCCUGAGAACACAGGAUGCAAGUCCGAAGAAAAUUAAAGCUACCUUAGAUGGCUUUCUACAAAAGAAGCAAACCCGUACACCGCAGCAAACGACUGCCCUCAUGGUGUAUAUUCUAAACAUGCUCACCGACAUGAGACCACUCUCCAUGGUUGAUGGUGAAGGGUUUCGAGAAAUGAUUCGCCAGUUCAACCCCGAAUACACCCUUCCAUCCAGAACCCAUUUCACCCACUUGAUGGAAAAGAAAUAUGAGACGAUUGUUC